rnacentral:rRNA from 1 species
ACUUUCAACGGUGGAUCUCUAGGCUCGUGCAUCGAUGAAGAACGUGGCAAGACGCGAAAUGUAGUGUGAAUUGCAGAAUUCCGUGAAUCAUUGAAUCUUCGAACGCACAUUGCGCCUGUGUGUGUGGGCAUGCGCCAUUGUGUGCGUGUCUGUGCGUGCGGGCAUGUCUGCCUGAGUGUCGCCACUCAAUCUCAUUGACAAUGCGUUUUAGUGUGCUUAUGAGGGUGUGAGUAUGUGUGUGGGUGUAUUUGAUUACUGCAACUAUGCAGCAGCAGCAGCACACCUUUGUUGGUGUGGUGUUUGUUUGUUGUGUAGCAGUAUGAAGAAGCGCCCACGCAUGCAUGCACUCAUAUCUCAUUUGCACUCUGUGCAUUGUUGGUGGCCAUGGGGUGUUAGUCGAUGCGGUGCACACACACAUUUUUGCUGUGUGUGUGUAUUGUGUGAGACUGGACUCUGAAGAGGAGAGCUUACGACUCCAUUGCGAUGAUAACUGUGAUGAUGGUGACUGUGAUGAAGAAGGAGUGGGUGUUUGUGUGUGAGCAUGUGGAUUGCAUUGCACGAUGAUACGAUGCCUUGUGCGUUGUGUUGUUGCUGUCGAUGUGAUUCACACCUCACACACAUCCCACUUCUAUUCUCAUACUGUUGUCAUCACACACUGUCGCUGUGUGGGUGCCGUUGUUGCGAGACCACGGCAAGCACAUGCAUGCUGUAUCUGCAUAUGCAGCAGGAUACAACAAGCUGUGGAGCGAUGUGUCAACUGGCAUCGUUGUUCUGCAGCGUGUGUAUGCUGUGUGUGAAGAGGCAUGUGCUUUGUGUGCUUGCAACUUUAUGUGGCUUUUGUGACACUGGUCAUGUGAGCAAAAACACUGAUGAAGAAGAGAGGGAAACUUGUGAGAGAGAGGAAACCUGGAAGAGUGAUGGACGGAGCAUUGUGUGUGUGCACAUCACUGCACUUGUUGCAGUCUAUGUGCACAAACGACUGCAUCCAUCCAUUUACCUCAUUCCGCUUAAUUUCUCUCUCAAACCCCCUUCCCCCUCUACUCACUUCACUUUUUUCUGUUGACCUCAGGUCAGGCAAGGGUACCCCCUGAACUUAAGCAUAUCACUAAGGGGAGGAAGAGAAACUAACAAGGAUUCCCUCAGUAACGGCGAGUGAAGCGGGAAGAGCUCAAGCAUUGGAAUCUCCACAAGCUUCUUUUUUGUGGCGAGUUGUAGUCUUUAUGGGAUGCGGGCCGUCGCAUGUCUUUAUGAUGGUGCACAGCUUUUGUUGUGCAUUGUUGUUUGGCGCAGCACCGAGUUUCCUUGGAAGAGGACACCGGAGAGGGUGAGAGUCCCGUUGGUGCUACAUUAUUUGCGCUGAUGUGCGGUGUGUGGUCCGUUUAUUCUCUUGAGUCGGGUUGUUUGGGAAUGCAGCCCAAAGCCGGGUGGUAAACUGCAUCCAAGGCUAAAUACUGGCACGAGACCGAUAGCGAACAAGUACCGUGAGGGAAAGAUGAAAAGCACUUUGAAAAGAGAGUUAAACAGUACGUGAAACCGUUGACAGAGAAUCGCUUGCAGCUAGCAGAGACUGGGCGCGCCUUGUGAUCAGGGCUUUUGGUGUGGUGUGUGAUGAUAGUGCGGGGGGUGUUUUGUGUGUACUUGUUGCACAUAUGCGCCGCUGCGUUGCUGUUGUUGUGUGCUGCGCUGCCUGCACUCGCGGGGCGUGUCUGCCAGCAUGAGUUUUGUGUGUGAGAGACGGCGAUGCGAGGGCGCCCUUGUGCGUGGCGCAUCUGCUUUUUAUGUUUCUGUCGCACGCGGGACUGAGGAAAUUAUCGAUGCGGUGGCUUUGUUAUGUGGUCUUUGGCAUGGGUGCUGUUUUCGGCAUUGUGUUGCGCAGACUCUUGUUUUGGGAUGAGGGAGACUCGUUCUCUUGUGCUGUUGACAGAGUGUGUGCGGGCGGUGUUGGGAAUGUUGCGCUUGCCGCUUGGCGCACACCACCGGGGAGAUGCUGGCGACAGGGCUGCAAACGGCCCGUCUUGAAACACGGACCAAGGAGUCUAACAUGUGCGCGAGUGUUUUAGCGAGCAUGAAGCUAGGGCGCGCAAUGAAAGUGAGAGGUGGGAUGCAGUGUUGUGGAAGUGUGCGUGAGUACACUUUUAACAGCACUCGCAGCACCAUCGACCGAUCUGGAUUGGGGGAGGGGGAAAAGCACUUUUGUGUGGCUUCCACCUCCUCCGCUGAAGGAUUUGCGUUUUAGCGCAGAUGUUAGGACCCGAUAGAUGGUGAACUAUGCCUGAGUAGGGCGAAGCCAGAGGAAACUCUGGUGGAGGCUCGUAGCGAUCAUGACGUGCAAAUCUGUCGUCGAACUUGGGUAUAGGGGCGAAAGACUCAUCGAACCAUCUAGUAGCUGGUUCCCACCGAAGUUUCCCUCAGGAUAGCUGAGACUUAUUUUUUGAUCUUUUGGUUAGUUUUAUCUGGUAAAGCGAAUGAUUAGAGGCCUUGGGGGAGCCACUUCCCUCAACCUAUUCUCAAACUUUAAAUGGGUAAGGCGGCGCGCUUUCUUUGUUUAUGAAGCGGGCAAUGCUGAAUAACCGAGUCUCAAGUGGGCCCAUUUUUGGUAAGCAGAACUGGCGAUGCGGGAUGAACCGAACGCGGAGUUAGGGUGCCGGAAUCGACGCUCAUGAGAACCCACAAAAGGUGUUGGUUGAUAUAGACAGCAGGACGGUGGCCAUGGAAGUCGGAAUCCGCUAAGGAGUGUGUAACAACUCACCUGCCGAAUCAACUAGCCCUGAAAAUGGAUGGCGCUCAAGCGUCGUACCUAUACUCCGCUGUGUGUGGAAGAAAGCGAGCGAAGCGAGCAUUCGUGCUUGUUGCGUCUCAAAACUACAUGUAGCCACACACAAGUAGGUGGGCGUGGAGGUGUUUGCGUGAGAGCAAUCUUUUGAACAAGCCGUGGAAGCCUGUGGCGUGAGCCUGGGUGGAGGGGCCUCCAGUGCAGAUCUUGGUGACAGUAGCAACGAUUCAAAUGAGAUCUUUGAAGACUGAAGUGGAGCAAGGUUCCGUGGGAACAGCAGUUGGCCACGGGUGAGUCGGUCCUAAGAGAUGGGGCAGUCCUGUGUCAAGUGGGGAGUUGUUGCGCGUGUGUGGGUGGUGGUGAUAUUAUCGCCAUGCUUGCACACGUGUUGAUUACCCCAGUCCAUCGAAAGGGAACCAGGUUAAGAUUCCUGGACCAACGCACGCCACAAAGAAUGUUUUGAUAGAGCAGCGGCAACGCGUACAAACUCGGAGACGCUGCCGGGGGCCCUGGAAAGAGUUUUCUUUUCUUUUUAACGAGCUGCAUUGUGGGGAGGAGUAGGGGGAAGAGUGUUAGUUUAUUCUGCGCUCUUCAACCUUCCUCCUUUACAUUCUCUGACCCUGGAAUCAGUUUGGCUGGAGAUGGGGUGAGAGGCUCGGCAAAGCACCACUGACCUUUUUUUGUUGUGGUGUCCGGCGCGUUCCCGGCGGUCCAUGAAAAUCCGAGGGUGUGAAUGGUAGCAGUGUGGGGGGAAGAAGAGAAGCACUUGUGCUAAUCUAUUUUCUCCGCUGCAUGUGGGCGUGGUUGGCCGUACUGAUAACCGCAGCAGGUCUCCAAGGUGAAGAGCCUCUAGUUUGAUAGACGAAUGUAGGUAAGGGAAGUCGGCAAAAUAGAUCCGUAAGCUCGCGAUAAGGAUUGGCUCAAGAGGUUGAUUGUGUGUGUGGGGGGUGGGGGUGAAAGGGGGUGUGCUUGCAUGCCGCUCUUGCACCUUCACUCUCUGCGCACACUGUUUUUUUAGCAACCGAUCUUGAACUGGUACGGACAAGGGGAAUCCGACUGUUUACUUAAAACAAAGCAUUGCGAGGAUAGGCUGUUGCGACGGUGUAGACGCAAUGUGAUUUCUGCCCAGUGCUCAGAAUGUCAACGUGAAGAAAUUCAAGCCAAGCGCGGGAUCAACGGCGGAAGUAACUAUGACUUUCUUAAGGUAGCCAAAUGCCUCGUCAUUUAACUGGUGACGCGCAUGAAUGGAUUAACGAGAUUCCCACUGUCCCUAUCUACGCUCUAGCGAAACCGCAGCCAAGGGAACGGACUUGGCACAAUCAGCGGGGAAAGAAGACCCGCUAGAGCUUGACUCUAGUCCGACCGUGUGAAAAGACACCAGAGGUGUAGCAUAGGUGGGAGCAGGUGUGGGUUUACUUGUGCUUGCGGCCUUGAAAUACCACUACUCUGGUCGUUUUUUUGCUUAUUGAAUGACACGGGGCUGGUGUGGGUGAUUGUGGUGUGCGUAGCGCGCAUUUCUUGUGUGAGCUGUGCGCACCUGAUCACACAUGUGCACCAUUUCUGGAGAAAGGGAGGGCAGCGUGGAGUGUUCUUGCACUUUAUGUUAUGCCGAUCCCGACCCGCUUUCAAGACGAGGUCAGGUGGGGAGUUUGGCUGGGGCGGCACAUCUGUAAAACGAUAACGCAGGUGUCCCAAGGUGAGCUCAAUGAGAACGGAAAUCUCAUGUGGAGUAAAAGGACAAAAGCUCACUUGAUUUUGUGAUUUUCAGGAUGAAUACAAACUGUGAAAGCAUGGCCUAUCGAUCCUUUAGUCGCGGCGGAUAAGAGUGAACAACGCACUCGUGCGUCUAAGCUCCCAUUCUGCACUGCGCCUGUUGACAGCUUCAACCUAGAGGUGUCCGAAAAGUUACCGGCGGGAUAACUGGCUUGUGGCAGCCAAGCGUUCAUAGCGACGUUGCUUUUUGAUCCUUCGAUGUCGACUCUUCCUAUCAUUGUGAA